GAUGAACGCUGGCGGCGUGCCUAAUACAUGCAAGUCGAGCGAACAGACGAGGAGCUUGCUCCUCUGACGUUAGCGGCGGACGGGUGAGUAGCACGUGGAUAACCUACCUAUAAGACUGGGAUAACUUCGGGAAACCGGAGCUAAUACCGGAUAAUAUAUUGAACCGCAUGGUUCAAUAGUGAAAGACGGUUUUGCUGUCACUUAUAGAUGGAUCCGCGCCGCAUUAGCUAGUUGGUAAGGUAACGGCUUACCAAGGCAACGAUGCGUAGCCGACCUGAGAGGGUGAUCGGCCACACUGGAACUGAGGCACGGUCCAGACUCCUACGGGAGGCAGCAGUAGGGAAUCUUCCGCAAUGGGCGAAAGCCUGACGGAGCCAAGCCGCGUGAGUGAUGAAGGUCUUCGGAUCGUAAAACUCUGUUAUUAGGGAAGAACAAAUGUGUAAGUAACUAUGCACGUCUUGACGGUACCUAAUCAGAAAGCCACGGCUAACUACGUG
rnacentral:rRNA from 1 species